GGGCCGGCCGAGGCGAUGACGUCACCGCGCGGCGCGACGUCACCGCGCGGCGCAGUGGGGGCGCCGUGCCGCGCCGCGCCGUGCCGUGCCGCGCCGUGCCGCGCCGGCCGCUGGAGACACCUAUCCAUGAUGAUUCCAUCAUCUGCAGCGACCCCUGCCAGCGAUGUUGCACUUUUUCCAAGCUUGGCUUCUCAGGAAAUGUGGAGGUCACAGGUUCCAGGCUAUUCUGGAUCGGUCACACGGCACAUCAGUCAUCGGGCCAACAACUUUAAGAGACAUCCGAAAAGGAGAAAACACAUCCGCCCUUCGCCACCGCCGCCACCGAAUACUCCAUGUCCUAUUGAUUUGAUUGACUUUGGGGAUCUCCAGCCUCAGAGGUCUUUCCUUGAACUCCUGUUUAAUGGGUGCAUUCUCUUUGGGCUUGAGUUCAGCUAUGCCAUGGAAACAGCCUAUGUUACCCCUGUGCUGCUUCAGAUGGGGCUUCCAGACCAGUUGUAUGGGAUGGUGUGGUUCAUCAGCCCUAUAUUAGGGUUCUUGCUGCAGCCUUUGCUGGGGGCCUGGAGUGACAGAUGCACAUCGAGAUUCGGGAGGAGAAGACCCUUCAUUCUGGUCUUAGCAAUAGGAGCAUUGCUGGGGCUCUCGCUUAUGCUGAAUGGCAGAGAUAUUGGCAGUGCUUUGUCUGACUCUGUGAAUAACCACAAAUGGGGAAUCAUUCUUACAGUCUGUGGUGUCAUCCUCAUGGACUUCAGCGCAGAUUCGGCAGACAAUCCCAGUCACGCCUACAUGAUGGAUGUGUGCAGCCCAGCAGAUCAAGACAGGGGCCUCAAUAUCCAUGCUUUGUUAGCAGGUCUUGGAGGUGGCUUUGGUUAUGUUGUUGGAGGAAUACAUUGGGAUAAAACCAGUUUUGGAAAAGCUGUGGGAGGGCAACUUCGUGUCAUCUAUGUCUUCACCUCAAUUACACUGACGAUCACUACUGUGUUGACGCUAAUUAGCAUUCCAGAAAGACCCCUGAGGUCCUUUAGCAAGAAGAAAAAGGUGAUGAAGAGUCCAAGUCUUCCUCUCCCUCCUUCCCCACCUCUCUUCUUUGAGGAAGGUGUAAAUGAAAACCUUGCUUCUCGUAACUCAGCUCACUUUUAUGCAAGUUUUACAAGUCCAGUUUCUCCCCUCAGCCCACUCACGCCCAAAUAUGGCAGUUUUGUCAGCAGAGACAAUUCUUUGACAGGAAUUAAUGAGUUUGCAUCAUCAUUUGGGACUUCAAAUAUUGACAGUGUGCUUAUAGACUGUUUUACUGGCGGGCACAAUAGUUACUUAGCACUUCCAGCUAGCAUGCCCAGGCAGCCUGUCAGUGUCAGCUUUCCCCGGGUGCCAGAUGGCUGUUACCACCAAGAAAACGGAAUUUUGGAGCAAGGGGAGAGCAGCAUAACUCCGGGGGCUGAUGGCGAGGCACUAAGGGUGGGCUCACUGGAUGCAAUAAAGCCACGGUCAUCGGGGAUCCUGAAAAGACCUCAGACCUUGGCUAUUCCGGACAUUGUAACAGGACAUUGUCCAGAAAGUAGCAGAAGAAGAAAUGUAACUUUCAGCCAACAGGUUGCCAAUAUCCUGCUGAAUGGUGUUAAGUAUGAGAGUGAGCUGAAUGGAUCAGGUGAGACCUCCGAGCAACCACUCUCCCUGAAACUUGUGUUUUCAACCAUCUGCCACAUGCCCAAAGCUCUGCGAAACCUUUGCAUCAACCACUUCCUAGGUUGGCUUUCAUUUGAGGGGAUGUUGCUCUUCUACACUGACUUCAUGGGAGAAGUAGUGUUUCAAGGGAAUCCAAAAGCUCCUCACAACUCAGAUGAGUAUCAGAAGUACAACGCUGGGGUCACCAUGGGCUGCUGGGGAAUGUGCAUCUAUGCGUUCAGUGCUGCGUUCUAUUCAGCUGUGCUGGAGAAGCUGGAGGAGCGGUUCAGCACGCGGACUCUGUACUUCGUGGCAUACCUUGCCUUCGGGCUGGGCACCGGGCUGGCCACGCUCUCCAGAAACGUGUAUGUGGUGCUGUCACUGUGUGCCACCUAUGGCAUCCUCUUCGCCACGCUUUGCACGCUGCCCUACUCCCUGCUGUGUGACUACUACCAGAGUCGCAAGGGGAGCGCUGGGGCCACAACUUUCCCCGCGGUUCAUUGGCAGAAGUUGCCCUUUCAUGGCCAGGCAGAGACCAUCCCCGUUGUUGGUUGUGGUGGGCAGUAAUAACGCCUGAGGGAGCAGCGGAGCCCCAUCGCUGGGUCAGUCCUGAUCAUUUUUGGAACCAUUGGCUGCUGUUUCUGUAGCAAAGUGAGCAGAAGAAAAGUUGCCAGUGAAAGUGAGCUUGCAUUUCAAGUGCCAGAUGUCAGAAUAGAGCACCCAAGACGAGAACACAAGCUGUACAGCAGCAGCACUUUAAACAGCACUGAGACAGACUGGAGGUCUUGUACCAGAAUCAUUUAUAUUUCUGGGUUUUGCUGUCUGUUUUGUCUCUUGAAAAGUUUGAAGACUUGCCAGAAACAAUUUCUAACCCAAGUUUGUUGUAUGUGAUAUAGUAUGUCCUUCAUGGUAAAAGCUUUGACUUUUUUUUAAACUGUGCAGAAAUGGUAGCUGCAUUGAAUAAAGAGAAUUUUUGUGUAUAGAACUUGCUGCCUAGUGCUCCCCUGGCAGUAACUGAGAAGUUUUACAUUGGAUUUGGAAGGCAACAACAUAGUCCAAUACCCAAAUAACACCCAUAAUAACAGUAAACAAAGAGAAGACCUCUUCAUCAGCCUGCCUGUUUUAUGGUACAGGCAUUUGGGGAGAAGGCAGCCAAUGAGUAGUAAUAAGUCAGAGAGGAAUUCACAUGUGAAACGUGCAUGUAAAAUGAGUAGACUGAGAAGCACAAUGUGAUAGGGGUGAUGUACUAUUUGCAGCAUAGGAAAGCUUUCCCCCCACACCCCUUUUUUUUCCUGGCAUCCAGCAAUGCAUUUUUCAAACAGAGGAUAGGAAGUUUUUUUUGCAACAGUCUGUGGAGCAGCCAACAGGAAGUGACAGCCUCAGAGCAGAAAUGAAGAUUUUUGGUUAUGGUGAGUAUAGCAUUUGCCAGACUUACAGGAACUACUUGAACAAGGGGGAAUUUAAGGGUAUUGGUUAAAAAAGAAAAAAAAAAGUUUGAAAAGGUGUUUUCCAUGCUAAGUGGAAUAUAAUAAGCAGUUUUCCAGCAAAAUCCCAGUUGUUCAGCUACAUAAAACUUGGUACAUUUUUUUUUUUUUAACUGACCAAUGCAGUUUGAGGGGAACCAUCUUUUGUAUCUGUGUUCCAAGCACAGCAACCCAAGCUGUUUUUAACAAAUGCUUCAAAUUUGUGAUGAGGCAUAAAGGCUAGAAGGCUUUAGUUUAGGAAGAACAUCUCACCUUGUAAGCAGAUGAUGAGAAAUGUAAACUGCCUCAGUCUGCUCACUGUCAGGCUUCCUGAUCUUAAAGAGAACAGCAGUCUGUGGAGCCAGCUACUUCAGAUGAGAAGGUCUCUUCAGAACAUUUAUUUGCACAUUUCAGCAGGAUUAUGUUAGAGCCUUGGAAAACCGUUUAAAGGAGAUUUUCCAGAAGGUAGCCGCAAAAUGCCUGUUAAUUUCUUGCGCUGGUGCAGUUCCCUUACUUGGUUUGUGCAGUCCGGCCAUAGGGUGGACUGCGGUCUGCUCAGUGGUGUGGUAAACUGCAGUGCCGAGGCCGGUACAAAAGCGCAGGAGCGGCUUAAGCUGGUUUGCUGCAGAGCACUUCAUUUCAUAAAACCUUUAUCUUUGAAGCAAGGAAAUCCAGAAUAAACUACAGAGGAGCUUCCUAGAAAUACCUGCCAAGUUGCAGGUCACAAUGUUAUAUAAAAUUAUGACUCUGAAAAUGUCAAGUAUAUGGAAGGAGAAUAUAUUAUAUAAACCAAUACUACCUUUCACAGUGUCAUCCUCUCCAGAUAAUAGUUUUUUCAUCGUCUAUGAUCUUCUCUCUUUAACCAGAAAUAACCCACCUGUCCUCAGUAUUGUGAUUUUGUUAAAGGACCUUCCUUAGAGCAAUUUCAUCUAUUCCUUCCUUUGCCUGAGUGGGUAUAGCACAAGCCUUACUGGGAAACAAAACUGAAAACUAGUCAUUACUUGAUGUUGUAAAAUAGUGUAAGAGCUGUGCCAAAAGAAACAUCAAAAAGCAAGAGGUGCAUCUGCGAUAGGAGAGGAACUUCAGUGAGUUUCCUACUUCUCAAGAUCAGGAUAAGAACAAAUAUUUGACAAAUAAGGCUAAUAUUUCACUUCAGACAAACCCCACUCCCUCUUUAACUGAUGCUGAAACCUUUCCCUCCAACACUGCUUUACAUGAACAAAAAGCACCAGAACAUCUCUGGAGAAAUAAAACAGAAAAGUAGCUAUAGCCCAUCUGCAUUUGCCUGCAUGAGGGCUCGCUUGGACCAUUGCACUGUCCUGUUUUAGUCAAAUGAUACCUAGGCAAUCAAAACACUUGAGAAGGGAGCAGCAAGCAAACGGAAACUGGUAGUAGUCACAUGCCAUGGUUGCAGAAAGUGACAUGUUAUAGCUAGUAAUGUGCCUUUUAGCAAAAGCCAUGUUGUGCUUGCUGAAAUGUCUCCAUACCCACAAGGUAACAGACAAGCCCCCAGGCUUCAUGUUUACUGCACACGAGUUGGGCAGCAACAGUAACUUUUCAGAGCCGAGUCUGGAGAGAGCAGAGCACGCAGAGGAAGGGGUGCACAGAGGACACGUUUAAUGCAGUCAGACACUACGGGGCUGGAGGCCCGCGGGCCGCAGUCCUGCGAUGCCGGGCAGCCGCGGGGCGUCACUCAGGAGGCCUCGUCGGGCCCGCCGGAACUGCCCGUCGGGGGCGCGGCGGCCCCCUGCGCUCGCCGCCGCAGCCUCUCGGCGCCGGUCACCGUCAUGGGGUGGAGCGGCAGGAACCCCGCCAGGCCUGCAAGAAGGGGCGGUGAGCUGCGGGGAGGCGCCCCGGGCCCCCGGCCCGCCCCCCCGGCCCCGCGCCUACCCAGCAGCUUCUCGGCGGGCCGGGAGAGCUGCGCGCCGCAGCCCAGCCAGUGCCGCAGCCGCUCGAGGUUGAGCCCCGCCACCUUCUCGCCGUGGGCGUUGGGCAGCGGGUCGAGACAGCCGAGCUGCUCCAGGUACUUCCCGUCGCGGGCGCGCUUGCUGUGUGCCGCCACGAUGCGGAAGAAGGGCCGGUUGGUGCAGCCGCCGAGGGCGAAGCGGAUCACGACGUGCCCGCCCCGGUAGCUCUUCAGCAGGCGGCUAGCUGCGGAGAGAGCGCGGGGCGGUUACGGGGCGGUUCAGGGCGGCGCCGGCGGCCCGCGCCGGCAGGGCACUCACCGAGCUGCACCAUGGCGGCGGCGGCGCCGGUCGCGCUGCGAUGACGUCAAGGGCGCGCUGGUAGAGGAGGCGGUCGCCGGCAGCAGGCGCCCGCGCGCCGAGCACGUCGGGAAGCAGCGCUGGGAGCGGCGCGCGCUGCCCGGCUCCGGCGGGAAAGCUGCUCCUCCGGUACGCGGGUUCCGGCGGGAAAGCUGCUCCUCCGCUGCCCCAAAGCCACAGGCUUCCCCGUGCAGCAUGUGUCGAUGGGUUCUCCGUUGCCUCUGACAUCUCCCCCGGCACUCGUACGCUGCGCCGGGGUCUGGAUGUCUCCAGCAGCAGCACAGCAGCCAGAUGCCUCCCCUCAUCUGGGACAUGAGGUCCUUCACUGCUCUUCUGGGAUGCGGGGCCCUUGGGUAGCCCACCGAAGGGGGACAUCUCGAAGAGAAGCAGCAAGACCUUGGGAUCCAGUUGUUCAUUUUGGUCGUCGCCUGUGAGGCCAGCAUCCGAGCGUAAGAGGAAGCUAGGAGCUGUAUCGAAAAGAGAUGGAACCAAGGACAGCAAAUGCUGACGAAGAGAAGAGACGGACAAACAUUUUCUUGUGAUUAAUGCCUAAGGGACGGGAUGAAACAAGGGAGCAAAAAUGUAGCGGACCCUCGAUAUCGCCAGGAAUGGCUACGGCAGGAGGUGUUUUGGCACGGGUAACUAAGGGGGAUGGAUUUUACUAUGCCUCCAUCAACAAGCGCUGGCUGGCAAAGUUGUGUCCCAACGGAGGCUCUUAGGCGAGACGGAGGAGUUCAGAUCCGCAACCAGCCAGAAGAUCGUCGCCCGGGAGGGGUUGCUAGCCUCGAGCUAUAGGCGCUGGCGUUCAGAACCUCGGGGAAUGACUGUAUGCUGCCAUGAAGAACUCCAGGCUACCACUGCCCUUGGACCUUUGUAAGUUAUCAUGUGUCGAGAGCAUCCAGGAGAAUCCAAAAGGCAGCGGAAAGGUUCUCUGCCUGGUCUUGACAAGGAGCCUUUGGCCACGGGAAGGUCAUUAGCAUCCUUACUGGACUUGCGGGUAAUAAGCCAUGAUGUGUGGACCAGCUAAGGAGGAGGGGCGAAUAGCGACUGGUAGCACAGUCACUGUGGCAUUGCUGUUGCGAGCAGGGCCGUGAGGUCUGUGCGAAGCUUCACCUGCCUGUUUGGAGCUCUAUUUUGGUCUGUUUACCUGGAAUGACCAGUGAGGCCUAAAAUAGGAAUUUUCGUGGCUAGAUGGGUAAGCUGUGAUCCCCACCCAUCUUUGCCUUGCUUCACUGCUUACCUACAACUUGGGACCCCAGAGUAAAAACUGCUGCAGCGCUUAAGGGAGGCUCUGGAUUUGCCCAGGUUGGGGAACCAUCAUUAAAGCUUUGGGGGAAGAAAGCUCUAAAACGAGAAUGUCCCAGUGACCUCGGUGGUUUGAUUCAUUUGCAGGAUGCUGUUCUGAGGGCCGGCAACUCAAAGAGGAGCAGCUCAGCCCGUUUUGUUGAUUUCGGUGAUACUGUUUUGAGGAAGCAUGGCCCGUCUGUCAGCUAACAAAUAAAGAAGACGGAACAGCCUAUCCACAUAGGAGGCACCUGACAUAGGAGAACUGAUAUACAGUAAAUGUAAAUGCGCUAGACCUCUGGUACAUCACGGGCGUUUGUUUAGAUCUGUACAUUCAGAUCUAUAGUUCCGCAUUCGGAAUGUGGCAUUUGCCCAAGUAUCUAAUUCCUGUGUGUCGUGUGGAAGCCACUGCACAGCUGCCAAUCUCUACAACAGGUUAUCAGAGAGAAUGAGAAUGCUGCAUUUCAGCUCAUGACUGCAAAAGAGGCUCCUUUAUGUCCAGUUUCAGAAUUGUGACCUACUUCAUCCUUCUGCUUUGACGUUAUUUCUCAGCAGGAAUGGUAGCACUUUAACUGUGCAGCGGUUGAAACCGGUAAUGUGUAGGCCAGCGCAGUUAUGCUGUACCUUUCUUUGAUAUGCAUUUCAUCCUUGUAUCAAGCUUCUGGGAAAAUAAACAGUACAGAGUUCCGGAAGAUGUGCCUUUAAAUAGGUGGUAAAUCUAGAGGCGUGUCUGAAUUCCAAGUGGCUUGUAACUUCAUAUCUGUCUUCAGCGUAUACUUUUCUAUCGCUCUUAUUCCAGGCUUGCCUCUGACAAUCUGUAUUACUGUGGUGUAUUGCGUUUCACAGGCAGCGAUAUAUUCAACGACAACAUGAGAACUGCUCUGCAGCGGGCUCUGUAAUCGAUGAUCAUGAGAUCCAUGCUCUGGGCUGGUCACUUUAGGCCUUUACACAGAGUAUUCUUUCUAGUCACACACCCCGUGCGAUCCUCUCCUUCAGCUGUUUUCCCAAGGGAUUGGAAAUGCUUCUGGUAAGUCCUGUAUUUUCCUAAAUUUUCCACCAUGUCCUUGCUGGAAUUGGAUACCAUUAUAGCAGGGAGAGGCAGCCUACAUAUGCGCAAGGAACAUUGAGGCAGAAAGAAGUUGCCUCUUUGGCCCACCUAAUCUACUUCAGAGAGUUUUAUUUUUGACCUAGAGCUUGGGUCUUUGAGUGCUGUGCACAGCAUGCGUUGGUUUCCCUGUUCUUUUAACAAGGUUAUCGAUGCCCUUCAGUUGUUUCUUCAGAGGGGGGAGUUGCUGCAGGAAUUGCUGGGGAGGCCCUGACCGCGGCAUGUGGAAAAGACACCUUUGACUGCAUCCAGCUGAAGAAAUGUAAGCUGAAGGAUCAGAGUAAAUAACUGUCUAGGUCUGUUACCUAGCGACACGUUAUCAGAGUUUUUUUAUGAGCAAUCACACUCGAUCAAGUGCCUAUUCAUUCCGUGAAUAUUACUGCAAGAGUGCGUACGUUACUGAUUCUUUAAAGUGAGUCCAUGGCACUGGUGGGGUAGUGUGUGUUCUGAAGACUAAAUCCAAGAGCAACUCAUUUCGAUGCUGUUCUCUUACAUGAAAGCACUUAGAGCAGAUUAAAACAUUUAUCGUCCUGUUUUGUUUAUUGAAUGGACUGUGAGACUCGGAAAAACCUGCAGCGAAGGAGACACGGUAGUCAGUUUCCUUGGAGAAGGUGUCUUGUCCUGUACUUUAGGGCUUCCUGUACAUUUUGACAGACAGUAGUGAAUGACUGGUCUCCUUUGAAUCCCUGGGCAGCAGAAGGUUCUGAUUGGAAGGCAAAAUGUUUCUUGCAGCCGGGUUUGAAGAAGCUGGCUACCAAUCUGUGGAGUCACUGGAAGUUUUUAAAAGACAGUCAUCACCUUUUAUGGAAGGCGAUGCACUUUCGUUACUAAUCCCAGUAGCAAUCGAGCCAGGUAAGUGAUACGUAGGAGGUCAAGCCCAUUAGUCUUUUUCACACAGUAAUAGCCUUUAGGCUGUGAUCCCUCUUAUACAAGUCCAGAUAUUUUAGAAACUGAACAAGCCUUUUUAGCUUUUUUCCUGUAGUACCGCAAAAGGUCAUCAGAAUGCUAAUGUUUUUGUGCUUUAACAUGGUAGACAUACGCUGUGCAAACAUCUCUUACUGUUUAAUAAUAAAAACGGAGUGGUCCAUUGAGACAGUA